UACGUAGGGUGCAAGCGUUGUCCGGAAUUAUUGGGCGUAAAGAGCUCGUAGGCGGUCUGUCGCGUCUGGUGUGAAAAUCCAGGGCUUAACCCUGGACCUGCAUCGGGUACGGGCAGACUAGAGUGCGGUAGGGGAGAUCGGAAUUCCUGGUGUAGCGGUGAAAAUGCGCAGAUAUCAGGAGGAACACCGGUGGCGAAGGCGGAUCUCUGGGCCGUAACUGACGCUGAGGAGCGAAAGCAUGGGGAGCGAACAGG
rnacentral:rRNA from 1 species